rnacentral:rRNA from 1 species
GACGAACGCUGGCGGCGUGCCUAAUACAUGCAAGUUGAGCGCUGAAGGUUGGUACUUGUACCAACUGGAUGAGCAGCGAACGGGUGAGUAACGCGUGGGGAAUCUGCCUUUGAGCGGGGGACAACAUUUGGAAACGAAUGCUAAUACCGCAUAAAAACUUUAAACACAAGUUUUAAGUUUGAAAGAUGCAAUUGCAUCACUCAAAGAUGAUCCCGCGUUGUAUUAGCUAGUUGGUGAGGUAAAGGCUCACCAAGGCGAUGAUACAUAGCCGACCUGAGAGGGUGAUCGGCCACAUUGGGACGGAGACACGGCCCAAACUCCUACGGGAGGCAGCGGUAGGGAAUCUUCGGCAAUGGACGAAAGUCUGACCGAGCAACGCCGCGUGAGUGAAGAAGGUUUUCGGAUCGUAAAACUCUGUUGGUAGAGAAGAACGUUGGUGAGAGUGGAAAGCUCAUCAAGUGACGGUAACUACCCAGAAAGGGACGGCUAACUACGUG